rnacentral:rRNA from 1 species
UAAAGUGGCGUACGGGUGAGUAACACGUGGAUGAUCUACCUCUUGGCGGGGAAUACCCAGGGAAACCAGGGACAAUACCGCAUAAGCUCGAGAGAGGAAACCUGAAAAGGGCCGAGAGAGGAGUCCGCGGUCGAUUAGCUAGUUGGUAGGGUAAGAGCCUACCAAGGCAAAGAUCGAUAGCCGGCCUGAGAGGGCACACGGCCACACUGGCACUGAAACACGGGCCAG